rnacentral:rRNA from 1 species
UACAGAGGGGGCAAGCGUUGUUCGGAAUUACUGGGCGUAAAGGGCGCGUAGGCGGCCUGCUAAGUCGAACGUGAAAUCCCUGGGCUCAACCCAGGAACUGCGUCCGAUACUGGUUGGCUUGAAUCCGGGAGAGGGAUGUGGAAUUCCAGGUGUAGCGGUGAAAUGCGUAGAUAUCUGGAGGAACACCGGUAGCGAAGGCGACAUCCUGGACCGGUAUUGACGCUGAGGCGCGAAAGCCAGGGGAGCAAACGGG